AUGAACACUUAUGUGCAGCAUCAUAGUAGUCCUGCCGGGGUGCAGAUGGCUCCUAGCUUCAACGCCAGGCCGCCACAUAACUCUGCUGCCACCGGAGGCCCUGCUGCUGCACGACCUCGCAAGCCGAAGGGAAGCAAGGGUGGCCGUCAGAAGACGAACCAAGGAGCAGCUCCGCCAGUUUCCACUCCCCCACCUGCGGUCCAUAUGAUGCCGCCACCAGUGCAGGUUCCCGCUAUGGCCCCUUCGUCUAUGAUGGUAGCGGGUCACGGUCAGUACGCACAUAUGCAGCUGGGAUCAAUGCAACAGCAGCCUACACCUACGUUUCAGCCUUCAGGGGCAACCGAGGGGGUAGCAAUUCCUAAGAAGGUGUGGUGCUCUAAGUGCCAGUCUGCAAUGCACACAAAUGAUGACUGCGGGACACAACAGUUUUGUUUCAUUUGCAACAAGACUAAUCACCCGAUGACUUUGCGGCGCUGCCCUGCGCUCAAGAUGCCGAAGCCGGUGGCGAUGCUUUGUGGUUACGGAACUGAAAGUAUGGCCUUUUUUCAAAUGCCCGACAAUGUCUGCAGGGAGGAUCUUGCACCACAGGAUUCACUGACGGCGUUGGUAUCUAUUUCUGGUGGCUCUAUAACUCCCAGUAUCGUGGAGGCAGAGGUUGCUAAGAUUGCUCAGUAA
rnacentral:rRNA from 1 species